GCAGUCUGCAACUCGAGUGCNUGAAGCUGGAAUCGCUAGUAAUCGCGAAUCAGAAUGUCGCGGUGAAUACGUUCCCGGGUCUUGUACACACCGCCCGUCACACCAUGGGAGCCGACAACGCCCGAAGUCAGUGACCUAACCGAGAGGGAGGAGCUGCCGAAGGCGGGGUUGGUAACUGGGGUGAAGUCGUAACAAGGUAAC
rnacentral:rRNA from 1 species